UACGUAGGGUGCGAGCGUUGUCCGGAAUUACUGGGCGUAAGGAGCUCGUAGGUGGUUUGUCGCGUUGUUCGUGAAAACCGGGGGCUUAACCCUCGGCGUGCGGGCGAUACGGGCAGACUUGAGUACUGCAGGGGAGACUGGAAUUCCUGGUGUAGCGGUGGAAUGCGCAGAUAUCAGGAGGAACACCGGUGGCGAAGGCGGGUCUCUGGGCAGUAACUGACGCUGGAGGAGCGAAAGCGUGGGGAGCGAACAGG
rnacentral:rRNA from 1 species